rnacentral:rRNA from 1 species
UACGUAGGGUGCGAGCGUUAAUCGGAAUUACUGGGCGUAAAGUGUGCGCAGGCGGCCGAGCAAGUCGAGUGUGAAAGCCCCGGGCUUAACUUGGGAAUUGCGCUCGAAACUACUUGGCUGGAGUGUGGCAGAGGAAGGUGGAAUUCCAGGUGUAGCGGUGAAAUGCGUAGAGAUCUGGAGGAACACCGAUGGCGAAGGCAGCCUUCUGGGCCAACACUGACGCUCAUGCACGAAAGCGGGGGAGCAAACAGG